CAGCCGCCGCGGGAAUACGGAGGGUGCAAGCGUUAAUCGGAAUUACUGGGCGUAAAGCGCACGCAGGCGGUCUGUCAAGUCAGAUGUGAAAUCCCCGGGCUUAACCUGGGAACUGCAUUUGAAACUGGCAGACUGGAGUCUUGUAGAGGGGGGUAGAAUUCCAGGUGUAGCGGUGAAAUGCGUAGAGAUCUGGAGGAACACCAGUGGCGAAGGCGGCUUACUGGCUCAUACUGGACGCUGAGGUGCGAAAGCGUGGGGAGCAAACAGGAUUAGAUACCCGAGUAGUCCCUGUCUCUUAUAC
rnacentral:rRNA from 1 species